UACGGGGGGGGCAAGCGUUGUUCGGAAUUACUGGGCGUAAAGGGCUCGUAGGUGGCCAACUAAGUCAGACGUGAAAUCCCUCGGCUUAACCGGGGAACUGCGUCUGAUACUGGAUGGCUUGAGUUUGGGAGAGGGAUGCGGAAUUCCAGGUGUAGCGGUGAAAUGCGUAGAUAUCUGGAGGAACACCGGUGGCGAAGGCGGCGAUCC
rnacentral:rRNA from 1 species